rnacentral:rRNA from 1 species
UGCGCAGGCGGGCUUGUAAGUCAGUGGUGAAAUACUGCCGCUUAACGGUAGAACUGCCAUUGAUACUGCGGGUCUUGAAUAUGGUUGAGGUAGGCGGAAUGUGUUGUGUAGCGGUGAAAUGCAUAGAUAUGACACAGAACGCCGAUUGCGAAGGCAGCUUACUAAGCCAUUAUUGACGCUGAGGCACGAAAGCGUGGGGAGCGAACAGGAUUAGAUACCCUGGUAGUCC